CCAGCAGACUGACACGGAGGAAAAGGUCCAGUUUAAUUCAAUUAAUAGAUGCCCUGUUCGGUUAAUUAGCUCACGAGCAGUCUCAUGAGGCGGUCUGAGGUAACGUUAACCGUUAAAACAUUGAGGUCCUGACUGCCACCAGUUGAGUCAAUGAUUCAGUGGAGAGACAGUCUGGGCAGCAGCAACAAGACAACUAUUACAAGUAGAGAUGGGUUUCAAGAACUGACACAACCACAUAUCAUCCAAACCAUCUCCAAGUGGAUGGCAGCAAGGAUCCAGGAUCAAGAGAUCAUUCAUCAUGAAGACUGUUCCAUAGGAAGCAGCGAAUCCUGGGUGAAAAACUAAACCUGGUU